GAGAUUUCACUGGGAGCCAUUGCCAUUAGAGAGGGGGGAGGGAGUAGCCAGAACCAUUCUCCUAUGGCUGUGCCUACUUUAGCCGUGUCUAACUAAAGAUGGGGAGGUGAGUCCCCUAGUCAUGAGAAUACUGUAUGUCGCCAUCUGUCUUUCAAAUCCACUGUCCCAGAUGGCUCAUACAGUUCAGGACAACCAAGCCUGAGUUGGGGACAGGAGCCAUGCGCGGUGGAAAGGCAGAAGCUUGACAGGACAGAAUAGUGUUAUGUCAUGUCUCCAGGGACACAUGAACAUCCCCAGUGAUACGAGACCAACGGCGGCUGGUGCCAGUGGGAAUAGCUACCGAGUUAAAGUCGUCUCCUCAUUGAUACAUCCAUAGCUCCUAUGGCGAGUGCCGGUUCCUUAAUAACUCUUCCCUUGGCGAUCCAGAAAGGAACACGCUAGAAUCCUAGCCUAGGCUCCCACAAGUCAUCUUUGAACAAGAAAUCAGCAGACCAUCAUGUCCCAGCCAUCCAUCCUAUCCACCUCAUGCCUGAAGUUCUUCCCCUCCUCUGUAGGGUUGAUGGGGGGGGGGGGGUCACACAGCCCCACCUGGCUCCCCCAGAGUGAAAUCUCAACUCAGCUUCUGCGGUUGAUGAGUUAGGAGGCCUCGGAGUUCUCACCAACAAAACAGGAACAAACUGAAUCCUCGGGCGCCUGCUCUCUGAGGGAUCACAUUUGGUUGGCUGGCUGCACGCAUGCGCUCUUGAGAAACGUCGGUGUUUAUUCCCUUUCUGUUUCCCGUGGGUCCUAAUCUCAGUCGGAGAAACAGCAGAGAUCACACAGGCCUCGACAUCACUGAAGACUCUGACAGAACCUGUGUCCUCAAAGCUGAGGAAGCCCAGUGAUUCAUUCCAGCAAUGGCUGGCUCGUAGAUCUCUCAGAUCAGAAUCUCAUUGGUUCAGCUAGAGUCUACAUGUCCUUCUCUGCACCAAUGUCUGUGGUAAACAGUCCCUCCUCUUCCAGCUUCUCCCAUCCUGCUUCAACAUGAGUACUCUCGUCAUUUGUAA